rnacentral:lncRNA from 1 species
CCCUAUAUAGUACCAUAAUCCAUAUUCCAGAGAGGUUUUGGCAAGUUGCAUGGUCGAGUGUCCUCCUAUACCUGAUCCAAAUGAGAAGCCAUGCAAUGCAAUUACAACUUCAGCAGAUAGCAUUCAGGGCCUUUUUUGGAGUCAUUAAUUCGUUAUUAUCCAAUUGUCUUCUUUGCCUUAUCCAUAAUGAUGAUGUUGCCAUCAACGUCUAUUGUCACACAUUCUCUCAAAAAACCUAUGUUGUGGAUAAAAUAUAAGAAAUCAAACGCAUUACGCAUAUCAUAUCAAUAGAAAAAAAAUCUAUUAUUAUAUGUGCCCUGCAAGUGACUAGGUACACCGUACACUUCAAUUUACACUACUUUGGUGGGGCAGGGAGAGAGAGGGGUUAUUAUUCAGAACUUGUGUGUAAGCUACUACGAUACUAAAAAAAGUCUUAAUUUUGCAUGUAUUAUACCAUUCAACAUUAACAUACGAUAAAAGAAUCUGUAAAAAAAGAAGCUAAUGUUCUAGAAAGGACUGUUAGAGAGGCCCAAUUCUAAGAACAAGACUCUAAAAUCACAAAGGCAUUAUUCCAACUACACCUGUUUGGCGUGAUGACAAAACAACUACAAUAAAAUAUCCCAAGUCUGCUAAGGCCAUUGGGACUUAUCUUGAGGGAAUCUCGACUCUCGACUAAGAUGGCCCAUCAUGACUUUAAUUCACUUAACAACUUUUCUGUUCUGAACACAAAUGGUGAAGUUAGUAUAAUCAUAUUAUAUAUAAGAGAUAAUUACACGAAAAGAUAGUAAAGACGUCCCAUGAAGAUGAACAAGAAACUUGUAUUGAGG